UGAACGCUGGCGGCGUGCCUAAUACAUGCAAGUCGAGCGAACAGACGAGGAGCUUGCUCCUCUGACGUUAGCGGCGGACGGGUGAGUAACACGUGGAUAACCUACCUAUAAGACUGGGAUAACUUCGGGAAACCGGAGCUAAUACCGGAUAAUAUAUUGAACCGCAUGGUUCAAUAGUGAAAGACGGUUUUGCUGUCACUUAUAGAUGGAUCCGCGCCGCAUUAGCUAGUUGGUAAGGUAACGGCUUACCAAGGCAACGAUGCGUAGCCGACCUGAGAGGGUGAUCGGCCACACUGAAACUGAGACACGGUCCAGACUCCUACGGGAGGCAGCAGUAGGGCAUCUUCCGCAAUGGGCGAAAGCCUGACGGAGCAACGCCGCGUGAGUGAUGAAGGUCUUCGGAUCGUAAAACUCUGUUAUUAGGGAAGAACAAAUGUGUAAGUAACUAUGCACGUCUUGACGGUACCUAAUCAGAAAGCCACGGCUACCUACG
rnacentral:rRNA from 1 species